UGGGGAAUCUUGCACAAUGGGGGCAACCCUGAUGCAGCGACGCCGCGUGAGCGAUGAAGCCCUUCGGGGCGUAAAGCUCUUUCGACCGGAACGAUAAUGACGGUACCGGGAGAAGAAGCUGCGGCUAACUACGUGCCAGCAGCCGCGGUAAUACGUAGGCAGCAAGCGUUGUUCGGAGUUACUGGGCGUAAAGAGUGCGUAGGCGGUUUUCUAAGUUCGGUGUGAAAUCUCCCGGCUUAACUGGGAGGGUGCGCCGAAGACUGGGAAGCUGGAGUGUGGGAGAGGAAAGCGGAAUUCCUGGUGUAGCGGUGAAAUGCGUAGAUAUCAGGAGGAACACCUGCGGUGUAGACAGCUUUCUGGACCAAAACUGACGCUGAGGCACGAAAGCGUGGGUAGCAAACA
rnacentral:rRNA from 1 species